rnacentral:rRNA from 1 species
UACGAAGGGUGCAAACGUUGCUCGGAAUUAUUGGGCGUAAAGCGCACGUAGGCGGCUUUGCAAGUCGGAUGUGAAAUCCCUCGGCUCAACCAAGGAAGUGCAUCCGAAACUGCAGAGCUUGAGUACCAAAGAGGAUCGCGGAAUUCCCGGUGUAGAGGUGAAAUUCGUAGAUAUCGGGAGGAACACCAGUGGCGAAGGCGGCGAUCUGGGUGGAUACGUGACGCUGAGGUGCGAAAGCGUGGGGAGCAAACAGG